UGGGGAAUAUUGCACAAUGGGCGCAAGCCUGAUGCAGCCAUGCCGCGUGUAUGAAGAAGGCCUCGGGUUGUAAAGUACUUUCAGCGAGGAGGAAGGCAUUGUGGUUAAUAACCACAGUGAUUGACGUUACUCGCAGAAGAAGCACCGGCGUAACUCCGUGCCAGCAGCCGCGGUAAUACGGAGGGUGCAAGCGUUAAUCGGAAUUACUGGGCGUAAAGCGCACGCAGGCGGUUGAUAAGUCAGAUGUGAAAUCCCCGA
rnacentral:rRNA from 1 species